rnacentral:rRNA from 1 species
UACGUAGGGUGCGAGCGUUGUCCGGAAUUAUUGGGCGUAAAGAGCUUGUAGGUGGUCUGUCGCGUCUGCUGUGAAAAUCCGGGGCUCAACCUCGGACUUGCAGUGGGUACGGGCAGACUAGAGUGUGGUAGGGGAGACUGGAAUUCCUGGUGUAGCGGUGAAAUGCGCAGAUAUCAGGAGGAACACCGAUGGCGAAGGCAGGUCUCUGGGCCACUACUGACGCUGAGAAGCGAAAGCAUGGGGAGCGAACAGG